rnacentral:rRNA from 1 species
UCGCCUGUUUAUCAAAAACAUAGCCUUUAGCCUCACAAGUAUUAAAGGUCCCGCCUGCCCAGUGAUAAUUUAAUUUAACGGCCGCGGUAUUCUAACCGUGCAAAGGUAGCGUAAUCACUUGUCUUUUAAAUAAAGACCAGUAUGAACGGCUAAAUGAGGACAAACCUGUCUCUUAUAACUAAUCAGUGAAACUGAUCUUCCAGUCCAAAAGCUGGAAUAUCCACAUUAGACGAGAAGACCCUGUGGAGCUUCAAACUAACCACUAACAAGCAAGUACAACCGCACCUAGUGUACAGUUUUAAGUUGGGGCGACUUUGGAACAAAACAAAACUUCCAAGCACAGAGCCACAAACUCUAACCACGGCCAACAGGCCAAAGUUUAAAUAAUAAAGAUCCAGUAACACUGAUUAACGAACCAAGUUACCCCAGGGAUAACAGCGCUAUCUUCUUCAAGAGUCCCUAUCGACAAGAAGGUUUACGACCUCGAUGUUGGAUCAGGACACCCAAAUGGUGCAGCCGCUAUUAAAGGUUCGUUUGUUCAACGAUUAACAGUCCUACGUGAUCUGAGUUCAGACCGGA